rnacentral:tRNA from 1 species
GCCUUGAUAGCUCAGUUGGUAGAGCAAAGGACUGAAAAUCCUUCUGUCGAUGGUUCGAUUCCACCUCAAGGCACCA